UCGGGAAUUUUGGGCAAUGGGGGAAACCCUGACCCAGCAACGCCGCGUGAAGGAUGAAGUAUUUCGGUAUGUAAACUUCGAAAGAAUAGGAAGAAUAAAUGACGGUACUAUUUAUAAGGUCCGGCUAACUACGUGCCAGCAGCCGCGGUAAUACGUAGGGACCAAGCGUUGUUCGGAUUUACUGGGCGUAAAGGGCGCGUAGGCGGCAAUUCAAGUCAUCUGUGAAAUCUCCGGGCUUAACUCGGAACGGUCAGAUGAUACUGCUUUGCUAGAGUGCAGAAGGGGCAAUCGGAAUUCUUGGUGUAGAGGUGAAAUUCGUAGAUAUUGGGAAGAACACCAGUGGCGAAGGCGGCUAACUGGUCCGGUACUGACGCUGAGGUGCGAAAGCGUGGGGAGCAAACAGGAUUAGAUACCCCCGUAGUCCCUGAGCGGGCUGGCAAG
rnacentral:rRNA from 1 species